rnacentral:lncRNA from 1 species
AAUCAUCAUUACAAACAUACAAAAUAACUAAAUCCCUAUACAUGCCAUAACUCAAACGUGUUUCGAUAUAAAAUACCGAGCAGUUGUAGUUGAUAGUGUGGACGAUCUCCGACUUCUUUAGGAUCCUUGAAGUAGCUUUGCAAUACUAUAAGAGAAAGAGAAAUAAAAGAAGUAAGCAUAAAGCUUAGUAAGUUUACUAGCAAAUAAAUAACAAUAUUUAACUUAAAUAAUUAAACUCAAUGUCUAUAUCUCUAGUUUACUCUUUAGUUAAUCUCAUACUAGUUCUCUUACUUGUUUACUUAGAAUACUUGUGUGCAUAACUUACUCAAUCCUUGCUGCAUCGUUGAACAUCAAUUGAUAGUAUAAUAAGUUCUUAAGUCUUACAACUUACCUGAGCUUGCCAUUUAUGCUUUAAACUGAACUUUCAUGAACAUGAUUCGUUUACAAGCCCGUUGAGCUACAUUGGAAUAAUAAGGAUACUCGGGUCUCUUCUGAUAAUAACAUGCCAAAGCCAUGUCCCAGACAUGGUCUUACAUGGGAUGUUCUCGUGAUGGUGCCCAUGCCAUGUCCCAGACAUGGUCUUAUAGGGGACCUCUCAUCUCGGUGCCAACGCCAUGUCCCAGACAUGGUCUUACAUGGGACCUCUCGUCUCGGUGCCCAUGCCAUGUCCCAGACAUGGUCUUACAGGGGACCUCUCAUGAUCUUAAGGAUGCCAAUGCCAUGUCCCAGACAUGGUCUUACAUGGGAUCUCUUUACCCAAAUGUCAUGACAUUCGUAUCCAGUACCAUCCUUAUGUAUCAACGGGACUUUUAAAUUUUAAUUCUCUAUCAUUUCAUGCUUGGAUCAUCAUCAAAUAAAUUCAUAAAAUAAAUUCAUAAUUGCUGGAAAUUAACAGUAUUAAUAAUAAAUAUUGAAAUAUUGCAUUUAUUUACCGUAAACUUACCUCGGUACCAAUUAUAGCCAAAUUCACCAACUUAGUCUUCAACUUUAUUCUUCCCUUUGUCUAACCUCGAGUUUCGUACUUCUUGAUCUAAAAUAGUAAAUUUAACUUAUUUAAUAAUCACAUUCAUCAAAACAGCCCUCGACUCUAACUUUUUCAAAAUUACAAUUUUGCCCCUAAACUUUUACAUAAUUACAUUUUUGCCCCAAGGCUCGGAAAUUAAACUUCAUCUCUUAUUCUUAUGUUUUAUAACAUUCUGAACAUUUUUCCCUUCUAUGGCAACAUCAAAUUCCCACUCUAACAUGUACUUAUGAACAUUAGGUAUUUUUACCGAUUAUGUCGUUUUACUCGUUUUCACUUAAAAUCGCUUAGCAAAAGUUGUUUAACAUAAUUUCUAGCUGCAUAUUCUUUCAUAAAACAUCAAAAUAAACACUUUUCACCUAUGGGUAUUUUUCCAAAUAUAAACCCUAGGUUAAAUUAUUGCUAGAAUAAGCUAAAUUAAGCUACCGGGAUCUCAAAAACGUAAAGAACAUUAAAAACGGGGCUUGGGAUCACUUACUAUGGAGCUUGGAAGCUUGAAAACCCUAACUAUGGCUUCCCCCCUUGCUGAUUUCGUUCAUAUGAAGAAGAUGAUGAUUUUUGCCAUCUUUUUCCCUUUUAAUUCAUUUUAAUUACUAGAUUACCAAAUUGCCCAUAACUUAAAAAUUUUCUAUUUCACUUAUCUCAUGUCCAUUUUUGUCUACCAAGUUACCAAUGGUAUAAUUACCAUAUAAGGACCUCCAAUUUAAAGUUUCAUAACAAUUGGACACCUCUAACAUGUAGAACUCAACUUUUUCACUUUUUACAAUUUAGUCCUUUUGACUAAAUUGAGUGCCCAAACGUCGAAAUUUUCGAACGAAAUUUUCAAAAAAUCAUUUUGUGAAAUUGUAGACCAUAAAAAUAUAAGAAAAAUAAAAUUUUUCUCAUCGGAUUUGUGGUUCCGAAACCACUGUUUCGAUAACCUCAAAUUUGGGCCAUUACAACUCUCCCCCCCUUUUUAGGAUUUUCGUCCUCGAAAAUCUUACCAGUAAAGAGAUUCGGGUAUUGCUUCCUCAUUGUCUCUUCCGGUUCCCAUGUUGCUUCCUCAAUCCCAUGCUUUUGCCAUAGCACUUUCACCAGAUUUACCUUUUUGUUUUUAAGCUCCUUUGUUUCUCGUGCUAAUACUUUAAUCGGUUCUUCAUUAUAAGUCAUAUCCGGCUGAAUUUCUACUUCUGUUGGAGUAAUAACAUGUGAAGGAUCUGAUCGAUACCGUCGUAGCAUAGAUACAUGAAAUACAUUAUGAAUUUUGUCGAGUUCCGGUGGUAAAGCCAAUCGGUAAGCAACUGGUCCAAUUCUUUCUAUAAUCUCAUAUGGUCCGACAAAUCUUGGACUCAAUUUACCCUUUCGACCGAACCGGAGAACUUUCUUCCAAGGAGACACUUUUAAGAAUACUUUAUCACCCACCUAAAAUUCAAUCUCCCUUCGUUUAAGAUCGGCGUAUGACUUUUGACGAUCGGAAGCUGCUUUUAAACUAUCCCGAAUCAGUCUUACUUUUUCUUCUGUUUCCCGAAUCAAAUCAACCCCGUGUAUCUUCUUUUCACUGAGCUCUGUCCAAUAUAAUGGUGUUCUACAUUUUCUAUCAUACAAAGCUUCAUACGGAGCCAUUUUAAUACUGGACUGAUAACUGUUAUUAUAAGCAAAUUCAAUCAAAGGUAGAUACCUUUCCCAAUUACCUUGAAACUCUAAUGCACAACAUCGGAGCAUAUCUUCCAAUACCUGAAUUACACGCUCAGAUUGGCCAUCUGUCUGAGGAUGAAAUGCAGUACUGAAAUACAACUGAGUACCCAAAGCUUCUUGCAAUUUGUUCCAGAAACGAAACGUAAAUCGGGGAUCUCUGUCUGAUAUAAUGGAGACAGGCACUCCAUGUAGUCUAACAAUCUCAGAUAUAUACAAUCCAGCCAAUUUAUCUAAAGAAUAAUCCAUACUUACUGGGAUAAAGUGCGCGGACUUUGUCAAUCGGUCGACAAUUACCCAAAUGGCAUCUUUCUUCCUCGGAGAUAACGGUAACCCAGAUACAAAAUCCAUAGUGAUUCUUUCCCAUUUCCAUUCCGGUAUAGUGAUUGGCUGAAGCAACCCCGAAGGUACCUGAUGUUCAGCCUUAACCUGCUGACAUACUAAACAUCUUCAUACAAACUCAGAGAUAUCACGUUUCAUACCUGGCCACCAAUACAUCUUUUUCAAGUCAUCAUACAUUUUAUUACCUCCCGGAUGUACGGAUAUAAUACCACUGUGUGCUUCGUGUAAAAUCUUCUGUACAAGUUCUGAAUUCUUCGGUACACAUACUCUGCCUCUGAAUAAUAAACAACCAUCAGUUCCAAUCUGAAAUUCUGAAUCAUUACCUGACUCACAAUGCACCCGUUUAGCCUGUAAUUUCUCAUCAUUCCUCUGAGCUUCACAUAUUUGUUGACGAAAUGUCGAUUUAGCUCUCAAUUCAGCUAUGAUUGAACCAUCAUUAGACAGUGACAACCGGGUAUUCAUAGCUCGUAAAGCAAAUAGAGAUUUUCGGCUCAAAGCAUCAGCUACCACGUUAGCCUUACCCGGAUGGUAAUCAAUAACCAAAUCAUAAUCCUUUAUCAAUUCAAGCCACCUGCGUUGUCUCAAAUUCAAAUCUUUCUGUGUCAUCAAAUAUUUCAAGCUUUUGUGAUCAGUAUAAAUAUGACACUUUUCACCAUACAAAUAAUGCCGCCAUAUUUUUAAUGCAAAUACAAUAGCAGCUAACUCGAGAUCAUGUACCGGGUAGUUUCUUUCAUGUGGCUUAAGUUGUCUUGAAGCAUAGGCUAUUACUUUAUCUUCUUGCAUCAAGACACAACCCAAACCAUUUAAUGAUGCAUCACUAUAAAUAAUAAAUUCCUUACCCGAUUCAGGCUGUACCAACACAGGUGCUUUCGUUAACAACUCCUUCAAUCGGUCGAAACUUUGCUGGCAUUUUUCUGUCCAUUCAAAUUUAACAUCUUUCUGUAAUAAACGGGUCAUUGGAGAAGCUAUCAUAGAAAACCCUUGUACAAAUCUCCGAUAAUAACCAGCUAAACCCAAGAAACUUCUAACUUCAGAUACAUUCUUCGGUGGACUCCAAUUGACAAUAGCUGAAAUUUUACUUGGAUCUACCCUGAUGCCUUCUGCGGAUACAAUAUGUCCGAGAAAACCUACCUCUCGAAGCCAAAAUUCACAUUUACUGAAUUUAGCAUAAAGUUUCUUUUCACGCAGAAUUUGCAACACUAUUUUCAAAUGUUCUGCAUGCUCAGUUUCAUCCCGAGAAUAAACUAAAAUGUCAUCAAUAAAAACUACUACAAACCUAUCUAGAUACGGUCUGAAUAUCCGGUUCAUCAAAUCCAUGAAUACUGCAGGUGCAUUAGUCAACCCAAACGGCAUAACCAGAAACUCAUAAUGCCCAUACCUGGUUCUGAAAGCUGUCUUUGGCACAUCUGGCUCUUUUACCCGUAACUGAUAAUAACCCGAUCGGAGAUCAAUCUUUGAAAAUACUGUGGCACCUUUCAGUUGAUCAAAUAAGUCAUCAAUUCGAGGCAAUGGGUACUUAUUCUUUAUAGUUACCUUAUUAAGCUGCCGAUAGUCAAUACACAAUCUCAAAGACCCGUCUUUCUUUUUCACAAACAGAAUUGGAGCACCCCAAGGUGAAUGACUCGGACGAACAAAACCUCUGUCAACAAGUUCCUGUAACUGUGCCUUUAACUCUUUUAAUUCUGUAGGAGCCAUACGAUACGGAGCUAUGGAAAUUGGGGCAGUUCCCGAAAUCAGAUCUAUAGAAAAUUCCACUUCUCUUUCUGGUGGCAACCCUGGUAACUCCUUUGGAAAUACAUCAGAAAAUUCACAUACAACUGGCACUACCUGUAUCUUUGACUCAGAUACCUUAGUAUCCAACACAUACGCCAAAUAAACAUCAUACCCUUUUCUAACACACCUCUGAGCUGUCAUAACUGAAAUCAUAUCGGAUAAUCCCUUUGUCUGAUUAGAUUUAACCCAAAGUAAUUCUCCAUUCUGGCAUUUUAACACAACAUAUUUUUGUCUACAGUUUACUACUGCAUCAUGCUGAGUUAACCAAUCCAUGCCCAAUAUCACAUCAAACUCAUCAAAAGGCAAUAACAUUAAGUCAACCGGGAAACAAAUACCUUUUACCAUCAGUGGAUAAUUUUUACAAACUUUAUCCACUAUCACAAACUGGCCCAGGGGGUUCGAGACUUUAACCAUAAAUUCAGUAGGUUCAACAGACAAAUUUUUAACAAAUACUAAUUUUGUGCAUAUAUAUGAAUGUGUAGAGCCAGGAUCAAUUAAUGCAAUAACAGUAGUAUCAUAGAGAGAAAAUGUACCCGCAAUUACAUUAGGAGAGGACGCCUCUUCACGAGCUCGAAUAGCAUAUGAUCUUGCAGGUGCUCUAACAUCUGAUCUAACCGCUGAAUCUUUGAAUGCACCCCUAUUACUUGCCCCCACUCCUGGGUUUCUCUGCGAUCUACCUCUGGUAGGAGCAUUACCUGAUCUCGCACUCGUUAUUUCUUCUCUUUUAGUUGUUUCAGGACAAUCCCGAAUAAAGUGAUCGGAUGCUCCACAUCUGAAACAAACAUUUUCACCUGCUCUACACUCUCCGGGGUGGCGUCUCCCACAUUGAGGACAUUCCGGUCUAGGAGGUCGAGUACUGCCAGUACUUGCAACUGUAGUGGUUUGAGCUCUAAAACCCUCGAAUCUUCUACUUCUGCUUCGGCCAGAAUGUAUAUGUGGAAAAUGUGAUCCGCUAGAGAGCUCCCUAGGCCUCUUAGAUGUAGACUGAAAUGAUUUACUCAUUUGCCUCUUCUUUGUAUCCUGCGCUCCAGCUUCAGCUUUGCUCUUCUCUUUUUCUUUUAACAAGUCUUCUACUUUACAAGCUCUUUCUACCAGAACAACAAACUCUCUGAUUUCCAAUACACCCACUGAUAGUCGGAUGUCAUCAUUAAGCCCAUCUUCAAAUCUCUUGUACAUGUUGGCUUCGGUGGAUACAAAUUCCCGAGCAUACUUACUAAGUCUGACAAAUUCGCGUUCAUAUUCAGUCACGGACAUCUUACCUUGUUUUAGCUCAAGAAACUCCUUCCUUUUCUGCUCUGUAAAUCUCUGGCUGAUGUACUUCUUUCGAAACUCCUCCUGAAAGAAAUCCCAAGUAACCCUCUCACUCGGUACGAUAGACACGAGAGUCUUCCACCAAUGAUAAGCGGAAUCUCUGAGAAGUGAGACCACACACUUCAUACAUUCUUCCGGUGUACAAGAUAAUUCUUCAAAAACCCUGAUGGUAUUCUCAAGCCAGAAUUCUGCUUUUUCUGCAUCGUCAUCUUUGGUAGCCCGAAAUUCUUCAGCCUCUUGCUUCCUAAUCUUAUCAACAGGUGGUCUCUCCCUGAUAAAUAUACCUGCAGCUGGGGAAGCUACAUGGGGAACCUGUGAAUCUUGAGGGGGUGGAGGUCUUACAGCCGGAUUCGUACGAACGAACUCGGCAAACCAAUCAGUCAUGGCUUGGAAGAAGGCUUCUCUAGCUCCUCCUCCCUGUCUAUCUGAUGUAGGUCUUUCACUAACAUUAACAUCUAAUGGCACCGUCCCUUCUGCGGGAAUAGGCACAUUACUCUCUACUUCAUCUGUACUAGCUCGUUCAGGAUCCAUAACUAUAAAAGAAAACAUUUUAAAAUCGUCAGGAGUCGUCACACUAUCAAAAUAUAUAAGUAUGGCAUGUAUAGGUAGACUCUUAUUCUUACUGAGUAUUUCCGAGAACCGACUAAACCUGCUCUGAUACUAAUAAAAUGUAACACCCCUUACCCGAGACCGUUUCCAGAGUCGAGCACGAGGCAUUACUUAGCAUAUCUUACCAAUUCGGAGCAUAAAAACUAGGUUUGAAAAUUUAUUUCAUUAUUCGCAGCAAAUCUGUCCAAUCGCGCAGCAGUUACUAAAUUAAUUAUAACUUGAGCUACAGAACUCUAAAUUUAAUUCCGUAAAUUUUCCCUGAAACUAGACUCAUAUAUAUACUCAUCAUAAAAUUUUUAGAAUUUUUUGUUCAGCAAAUUAGUACAGUUUAUUAGUUAAAGUAUCCCCUGUUUCACCACCUGACUGCCCUGACCUCUAGUCACUAAAAAUAAGUUUUCUCACUGUAGGAUUUUCAUAUGAAGUUCUUACUUGUUUCUACAGAAAAUAGACUCAUUAAGAAAUCUAAGCAUGUAAAUUUCAACUCAUAACCAUUUUUGUACAAUUUGUAAUUAUUUUCUAAACUCAGAACAGGGGACUCCAAAAACAGUUCUGACCCUAUCUUACUAAAAUUCACAUAUCUUAAAAUAUAAAUUUCCUUUUUCUACACCGUUAUUUUUUCAUGAAAAUAGACUCAACAAGAUUUAAUUCCAUAUAUCAUUCACCCUCUAAUUCAUUUUAUACUAUCUUGGGUGAUUUUUCAAAUUCACGUCACUGUGCUGCCUGAAUUCUGUUUCUUUGCAAAAUUUUAUCCUUUCAUGAUUUCCAUGCAUAAUUUAUCACCUAAUCUUUCAUAACAACAAACACCUUCAUCCUUAAUCAUUUUAAUAACCAUACAUCAUCAAAUACUUACACAUCACUCAUUAGCAAAAUCAUCAUUACAAACAUACAAAAUAACUAAAUCCCUAUACAUGCCAUAACUCAAACGUGUUUCGAUAUAAAAUACCGAGCAGUUGUAGUUGAUAGUGUGGACGAUCUCCGACUUCUUUAGGAUCCUUGAAGUAGCUUUGCAAUACUAUAAGAGAAAGAGAAAUAAAAGAAGUAAGCAUAAAGCUUAGUAAGUUUACUAGCAAAUAAAUAACAAUAUUUAACUUAAAUAAUUAAACUCAAUGUCUAUAUCUCUAGUUUACUCUUUAGUUAAUCUCAUACUAGUUCUCUUACUUGUUUACUUAGAAUACUUGUGUGCAUAACUUACUCAAUCCUUGCUGCAUCGUUGAACAUCAAUUGAUAGUAUAAUAAGUUCUUAAGUCUUACAACUUACCUGAGCUUGCCAUUUAUGCUUUAAACUGAACUUUCAUGAACAUGAUUCGUUUACAAGCCCGUUGAGCUACAUUGGAAUAAUAAGGAUACUUGGGUCUCUUCUGAUAAUAACAUGCCAAAGCCAUGUCCCAGACAUGGUCUUACAUGGGAUGUUCUCGUGAUGGUGCCCAUUCCAUGUCUCAGACAUGGUCUUAUAGGGGACCUCUCAUCUCGGUGCCAACGCC